AAACUUUCAACAACGGAUCUCUUGGCUCUGGCAUCGAUGAAGAWCGCAGCGAAAUGCGAUAAGUAAUGUGAAUUGCAGAAUUCAGUGAAUCAUCGAAUCUUUGAACGCACAUUGCGCCCGCCAGUAUUCUGGCGGGCAUGCCUGUUCGAGCGUCAUU
rnacentral:rRNA from 1 species